rnacentral:tRNA from 1 species
GUUCCGUUAGCUCAGUUGGUUUAGAGUAUCACAUUGACAUUGUGGGGGUCGUUGGUUCGAAUCCAAUACGGAACA